AAAAUCCACCCCAAAUCCCAUCCGAGUUCCAUUUCAGCUCCUCCUGGGGAGCAUCCACAGCUCCCAAACUCCUCCAGGAAUUGCUUUCCCGGGAAUUUUUCAUCCUUAAAUUGGGAAUUCCCUCCUGGAUUUAGUGGGAAUUCAUCCAGGGAAAACUCGGACUCCUUGAUCGAGGUUGCUGAAAAAUCUUCCCCAAAUCCCACCCGAGUUCCAUUUCAGCUCCUCCUGGGGAGCAUCCACAGCUCCCAAACUCAUCCAGGAAUUGCUUUCCCGGGAAUUUUCAUCCUUAAGUUGGGAAUUCCCUCCUGGAUUUAUUGUGAAUUCAUCCAGGGAAAAGCUGUCACCUCAUGGUCGAGGUCGCCACAGAAUCCACCCCAAAUCCCACCCGAGUUCCAUUUCUCCAGCCCCAGCUCCUCCUGGGGAGCAUCCACAGCUCCCAAACUCAUCCAGGAAUUGCUUUCCCGGGAAUUUUUAUCCUUAAAUUGGGAAUUCCCUCCUGGAUUCAGUGGGAAUUCAUGUAGGGAAAAGCUGUCACCUCAUGGUCGAGGUCGCCACAGAAUCCACCCCAAAUCCCACCUGAGUUCCGCUUCUCCAGCCAAACUUCCUGGGGAGCAUCCACAGCUCCCAAACUCCUCCAGGAAUUGUUUUCCUGGGAAUUUUUCACCCUUAAAUUGGGAAUUCCCUCCUGGAUUUAGUGGGAAUUCAUGCAGGGAAAACCCUGACUCAGACUCCUUGAUCGAGGUUGCUGAAAAAUCUUCCCCAAAUCCCACCCGAGUUCCAUUUCAGCUCCUCCUGGGGAGCAUCCACAGCUCCCAAACUCCUCCAGGAAUUGCUUUCCCGGGAAUUUUUAUCCUUAAAUUGGGAAUUCCCUCCUGGAUUCAGUGGGAAUUCAGGAAAACCUUGACUCCUUGGUCAAGGUCACCAAAAAAUCUUCCCCAAAUCCCACCCGAGUUCCAUUUCUCCAUCUCCAGCUCCUCCUGGGGAGCAUCCACAGCUCCCAAACUCCUCCAGGAAUUGCUUUCCUGGGAAUUUUCAUCCUUAAAUUGGGAAUUUCCUCCUGGAUUCAGUGGGAAUUCAUCCAGGAAAACCCUGGCUCAUCGGUCGAGGUCACCAAAAAAUCCACCCCAAAUCCCACCCGAGUUCCAUUUCAGCUCCUCCUGGGGAGCAUCCACAGCUCCCAAACUCCUCCAGGAAUUGCUUUCCUGGGAAUUUUUAUCCUUAAGUUGGGAAUUCCCUCCUGGAUUCAGUGGGAAUUCAUCCAGGGAAAACCCUGGCUCAUUGGUCGAGGUUGCUGAAAAAUCCUUCCCAAAUCCCACCUGA
rnacentral:lncRNA from 1 species